rnacentral:rRNA from 1 species
CCUACGGGUGGCUGCAGUGGGGAAUAUUGGACAAUGGGCGAAAGCCUGAUCCAGUCAUGCCGCGUGUGUGAAGAAGGCCUUCGGGUUGUAAAGCACUUUCAGUGGGGAAGAAAGCCUUGGGGCUAAUACCCUCGAGGAAGGACAUCACCCACAGAAGAAGCACCGGCUAACUCCGUGCCAGCAGCCGCGGUAAUACGGAGGGUGCGAGCAUUAAUCGGAAUUACUGGGCGUAAAGCGCGCGUAGGCGGUCUGAUAAGCCGGUUGUGAAAGCCCCGGGCUCAACCUGGGAACGGCCUCCGGAACUGUCAGGCUAGAGUGCAGGAGAGGAAGGUAGAAUUCCCGGUGUAGCGGUGAAAUGCGUAGAGAUCGGGAGGAAUACCAGUGGCGAAGGCGGCCUUCUGGACUGACACUGACGCUGAGGUGCGAAAGCGUGGGUAGCAAACAGGAUUAGAUACCCCUGUAGUC